rnacentral:rRNA from 1 species
GAGUUUGUCGGUCGGUCGGGCUUCACUGUCCGCACUGGCCUGAUGGAUUCCUACCUUCUGAAUAACCAGCAUGCUAUUAAGUUAGUGCGUUGGGGAAGCAGAGCUAUUACCUUGAAAAAAUUAGAGUGUUUAAAGCAAGCUAACGCUUGAAUACAUUAGCAUGGAAUAAUAGAAUAGGACUUUGGUUCUAUUCUGUUGGUUUCUAGGACCGGGGUA